rnacentral:rRNA from 1 species
GAUAAACGCUGGCGGCGCACAUAAGACAUGCAAGUCGAACGAACUUAACCAUUAGUUUACUAUUGGAGCGGUUAGUGGCGGACUGGUGAGUAACACGUAAGCAACCUGCCUAUCAGAGGGGAACAACAGUUAGAAAUGACUGCUAAUACCGCAUAUGCCUAAGUACCACAUGGUACAAUAGGGAAAGGAGAAAUCCGCUGAUAGACGGGCUUGCGUCUGAUUAGCUAGUUGGUGGGUAACGGCUCACCAAGGCGACGAUCAGUAGCCGACCUGAGAGGGUGACCGGCCACAUUGGGACUGAGACACGGCCCAA